CAGUAGCCGCGGUAAUACGUAGGGUGCGAGCGUUAAUCGGAUUUACUGGGCGUAAAGCGUGCGCAGGCGGCCCGUUAAGACAGGUGUGAAAUCCCUGGGCUCAACCUAGGAACUGCGCUUGUGACUGGCGGGCUCGAGUACGGUAGAGGGGGGUGGAAUUCCUGGUGUAGCAGUGAAAUGCGUAGAGAUCAGGGGGAACACCGAUGGCGAAGGCAGCCCCCUGGGCCUGUACUGACGCUCAUGCACGAAAGCGUGGGGAGCAAACAGGAUUAGAUACCCCAGUAGUCCCUGUCUCUUAUAC
rnacentral:rRNA from 1 species